GUCAGGGAUAGCUCACUUGGUAGAGUAUGAGACUCUUAAUCUCAAGGUUGUGGGUUUCAGCCCCACGUUCGGCA